UACGUAGGGUGCGAGCGUUGUCCGGAAUUAUUGGGCGUAAAGAGCUCGUAGGCGGUCUGUCGCGUCGAUCGUGAAAACUUGGGGCUUAACCCUGAGCUUGCGGUCGAUACGGGCAUGACUGGAGUUCGGCAGGGGAGACUGGAAUUCCUGGUGUAGCGGUGAAAUGCGCAGAUAUCAGGAGGAACACCAAUAGCGAAGGCAGCUCGCUGGGACGGUAUUGACGCUAAGGCGCGAAAGCGUGGGGAGCAAACAGG
rnacentral:rRNA from 1 species